GAGCGCGUGAGAAAAACUCUUCGUUUUCUGGCGAUAACAAUCUCAUUUUUGUUACUUUACGCCUUCACAAGUCUCGGUUUUCUGCCCUAAAAAGUCCCGGAACGACCACCGGCCUUCUGCCAGCUCGUGCUCUCAAAGUGUCAAAGAAGAUGUUGCUGCUUGUUCUCUGGAGCCGUCACACGUCUUUCAAAGGAUGAAAGGAGGAUAAAGGCCAAGAACAAUGGGAAUGAUGCACAGUCAGAAAGCGUCACCUCCUCCAUGGGCUCUGCAGACGAACGGGGAAGCAGGUUGGCCGGUCGAGACGCCCGUCGACUGAUGAAUCACAGGAUAAAUCAGAGCAGACGCAUCGUGAUCAGAGGCGGAGGCUUUGUGAGAUGCAGCAGGUGGCGUGGCAACACGGGUCGCCACCUCCUUCAUCUCACCAGCGACAGGUGCGUCUGUUCAUGCGUCCCGACGUGCACGUCCCAGAGAGAACGGUAAAGCAUGAUUGGUCACAAAGUCACACUUAAAAAAUAUAAACAUGUCUCCAUCUCUUGCAGCUUCACCGAACUCACAAUAUAUAUAUAUUUAUAUAUUUUGUUUGUUUUAUUUCAGGGACAGACCCGAGAUGUUUGUCAGACCUUCACACACUUAAAGCUCAAAUGGAUGAAUAUAUAUAUAUAUAUAUAUAUGAAGAGUCCCGUUCCAAACUGAGGUAUGCACCAUUUUCCAAGACAUCAAAAUGAAUAAGUAAUCAAUGUUUUCCUUUAUAUAUAUUUAUUCUUUGAUUUGGAAUUGAACUCUUCAUACCUGCAACUGAAAGCACAACAACGAACAGUCAAAGAAUUUCACUGUGAUUGGACUCGAUUAUAACAUGUGCUUCCAUCUAACACUUUGAGUAAGAAAAAAUUAUCAAUUUAAAAUAUAUAGAAAAUGUGGCGGCGUC